UGCCAGCAUUCCGGCAUUUGGGAUUCCAGCGCCAGUAUGCUGCGUGCCGUGAUCCAGAGCGCGGAAUAGCGUACUAAUAAGUUGUGUCCUCUGUAUCACAAACUACAUCCUGUCCUGAAAUGCAGUCUUCAGAGAGAAGUCCCUGGAGAACAGCACAGCCUUCUUAAGAGAAAACGGUACCUUCUGCAAGUGCUGAUCUCUCGCAGGUCACUUCACCGAGGACUGUAAGGUCAGUGCUAACUGCCAUCUGGUAUCCUGGCGAAGCCUGGACAAGGCAAAACGCAUUGAUUACCAAUCAUAUCGAUCCUCUAAUGGCAACGCGAGGCACACACAGCGGGUUGCGAGGGAAGUCUACCGGCAGACACCAAAUCUACCCUGGGAACGGACACUCCACACAGGACGUAGGUGGCUACACCAGCUACACUUUGUAACGAAACCCCGGAGGAGGUAAGCUAAGUGUCUGUUGCCUUGUCCCAUUGGUCCGCCUGUCCCGGUGUAGCCCGCUGUCGUGGUCUCCCGGCAUCUGCAGUUGAGUGCAUCCAGAAGCAGCGCCAGCAGAGACGCGGGACAGUGGUUUCAAAUGGUAAAAUAAAGUCCUCUGAGAAGAGAUAUCCUUGGAGGCUUGACUCGGAACCUGGAAGACAUCAAAUGCACCAUUGCAGUUUUACUGAACUGAAUAUCCUGCUAUAUAAUGUUACAUUUUGCACAUGUAAGUGGUUUCAAAUGGUAAAGUAAAGUCCUCUGAGAAGAGAGAUCCUUGGAGGCUUGACUCGGAACCUGGAAGACAUCAAAUGCACCAUUGCAGUUUUACUGAACUGAAUAUCCUGCUAUAUAAUGUUACAUUUUGCACAUGUAAGGUACAUACUAGAUGUGUCAUCUUAUGAUAUACUGUAAAUUGUUCUUUUUCUUUACUUUGAAUAUUAAACUAUCCAUACCUAAUAUGUGAUCAGCCUACUGACCCUCAAUGAGGGUCAAAUUUAGAACAUGUGAUGUUAAUUGGUUCCAACAGUUAGUUCUUUAUCAGCUUUACAAGCCUCCU